rnacentral:lncRNA from 10 species
UCUGUCUGUCUUUCUUUCUCUCUUUCUUUCUUUCUCUCUCUCUCUCUCUCCUUCCUUCCUUCCUUCCUCUCUUUCUCUUUCUUUCUCCUUCCUUCUUCAUCCCAUCUCAUCCCUUCCCUCCCCUUCCCUCCCUUCCUCCCUCUCUUUCUAUGAUCACAUAGUUUUUGACAUUCUUUUGGUGUGAUGUAUCACAUUAUUAAUUUUUGUAUGUUGGAUCAUCCUUGAAUCUCUGGAGUAAACCCCACUUGAUUAUGAUGUAUUAUCUUUUUGAUGUACUGUUGCAUUUGGUUUGCUAGUAUUUUGUUGAGGAUUUUUGUGUCUAUGUUCAUCAGGGAUAUUGUCAUGUAGUUUUCUUUUUUUGUGUCUUUGGUUUUGGUAUUAAGGUUAUGCUGAUCUCAUAGAAUGAGUUAAGAGUUCUCUGUGCUUCAUUUUUUUGUAAUAGUUUGAGAAUAAUUGGUAUUAUUUCUUUUUUAAAGGUUCAGUAGAAUUCAUUGGUAAAACCAUCCAGUCUUGGAGUUUUCUUUGGAGAUUUUUCAUUACUGAUUCAAUCGUGAUUUUUUAUCAGUCUGUUCAGGUUUUCUAUUUCUUCUUGUUUUCUGUCUUCUUUUCUCUCUCUCUCUUUUUCUUCUUCCUUUCUUUCUACGAAGACAAGUUCUCUGGUUCUGUGUCUAUUCUGCUGCUAGCAGAGUAACCUCAGACAAAUAACUUUAUAGGCAUCCUAUUCUUUCUUUCUUUCUUUCUUUCUUUCUUUCUUUCUUUCUUUCUUUCCUUUCUUUCUUUCUCUUCUUUUCCCUCCCUCCUUCCCUUCCUUUCUUCCUUUGUUUCUUUCCUUCUCUCCUCUCCUCUUUUCUCCUCUCCUCUUCCUCUACUUCCUCUCCUUUCCUUUUCCUUUUCCUUUUCUCUCUCCUUCCUUCCUUCCUUUCUUCCUUUCUUCCUUCUUUUUUUUAAUGAGAGACAGGGUCUCUCUCUGUCACCCAGCCUGGAAUGCAAUAAUGCAGUUGUAGCUCACUGCAGCCUUGAACUCUUGGUCCUAAGUGAUCCUCCUGCCUCAGCCUCCUGAGUAGCUGGGACUACAGGCAAGGGCCACCACGCCUGGCUAAUUUUUUUUUUUUUUAACUUUUUUGUAGAGACAAGAGUCUUUGCUAUGUUGUCCAGGCUGUAGUCCUGUGGCUGUGCACAGAUUCUGAAAAAGAGUUCCACGUCCUCCCUUAUCGAGUCUUUGUUCCCCUUCCUGGAUCCACUGUAAUGUUGUGUGAUUAUAAAUUUGACGAUGAGUCAGCUGAAGAAAUCAGGGACCAUUUUAUGGAGAUGUUGGAUCACACAAUUCAAAUAGAAGAUUUGGAAAUUGCAGAGGAAACAAACACAGCUUGUAUGAGUUCUUCUAUGAAUAGUCAAGCUUCAUUGGACAACACAGAUGAUGAACAACCAAAACAACCAAUUAAAACUACAAUGUUAUUGAAAAUUCAGCAAAACAUAGGUGUGAUUGCAGCAUUUACAGUUGCAGUCCUUGCUGCGGGUAUCUCCUUUCAUUACUUCAGUGAUUAGGGUGAGGCACAAAGAGUUUCUUGAUCAUCCAGAGAACAUUGACAGACAAUUAUGAAUAAUAAAGAUGUUAACAAUCCAUCUGUAUUUAAAACACUAGCAGCCAGAUCUGCUGCCAUGAUGCCUAUUUGGUGUGUUUCUGAUUAAAAUGAAAUCACAAGCUGCCUUGUUUAGCCUGCUUUACAUUGUAGGUGGCCCGCAUUUCCAGAAAUAACGUUAUGCAUCUAGAUGGAAGCUGCAUGUAACAAAUCAUUAUUAUCUAUUUUUAAAAGCUUCAAAAUGAUGGGAUAUGAUCAUAGAUUUUAGUCUUACUAAUCUGAAUCACAUAUUAAUCAGGACAUUAAAAACUUUAACAGAGGCAUGAUGGCUCACACGUAUAAUCCUAAUGCUUUGAGAGGCUGAGGUAGGAGCAUCACCUGGGGCUGGGAGGGAGUUGGAGACCAGCCUGGAUGACAUAAUGAGAUUCUGUCUCUACUGGAAAAAAAAAAAAUUAGCUGGACAUGGUGGCAAUCAGCUCUAGUCCCAACUACUUGGAGGCUGAAGCAGGAAGAUCACGUGAGCCCAGGAGUUUGAGGCUGCAGCGAGCUAUGAUCACAUCACUGUACUCCAGCCUGGGUGACAAAAUGAGACAUUGUCUCUAAAAUACAUAAGUAAAUUUAAAAAAAAAAGAAUAAUAAUUUGAACAGUGAAUGUUGAUGUAACAUCUUAAUAAUAGAGCACCAGAAAAAUUUCUACCAAAUGAGACAACAACUUUAGGAUAAGUUCAUCCUCUAGGAGCUUUCUAAUGUGCACUCAGUUCCUGUAUACUGUGUGUUUUGUUCUGAUCAAGGGGUAGGGAACCUUUCCAGAGAAGUCCCAUUAGUAAGAAAUGACAUAAAAUACGUGCUUUCUCAGGUUACUGUAUAACUGUUAUAAUAUAUUUAAUAUAUAAAAUUAAGACUUUUGCUUCCAGCAAGUAUGUUAGACUAGAUAUUAUAAAACAACUAGAUCCUGAAUAAAAUCUGCUUUUAAUAGGUUCACUGGAAGUAGGAGAAUUUUCAAGAACCAUACUUCGACAUUUCCUCUGCCACAAAAAAUGAACGCAUUUUAAGUUAGGAGUCAUGAAUACUGUAUUGACCAUACAAGUGGAUUAUGGUUGUCUGGAUGGCAGAUACCAAUAGCAACAUUGUCAUAUGCAGUUUGCCUCAAAUCAGAAACAAGAAGACAUCGGAAUCUGAGAUGCUGCCCUAGAGAGGACAGUUAAAGAAGGUUCAGUGGUCCUCAGUUUGCAGUGCUCUAGCUCCUGGCAGAAGCAAGAGGGAAACAUUCCUAAUUUAGUUCCAAGAUUCCUACAGAUUAUUAUCAAGUAGUAGUAUUUUAUGACUAGAGAUCACAGGCACAAGUUGAAACAAACUAACAUGACAAGAAAGCUAUAGAAAAAAUAAACAUUGAACUCAGUUCUUCAAGGUUUCAUCACCAACAUAAGGAAUGAAGUUGGAACCACAGGCAGAUCUGAAAAAGAACCAAAUAGAGCUCCUAAAAAUGAGAAAUAUUUAUUGAAAUAAGAAAAAAGCCCUCAGACAUGUUGAAUAUUUUAUUAGACUCAGCUGAAGAGACAAGUGAACUAAACUAUAAGCUGGAUCUAAAGAAAUUACCCAGUGAGCAGUGAGGAGAAACAAGGAGCUAGAAAACAUUGGAAAGUUAAGAGAGUUCGAGGGAAGAAUUAUAAAGACUAGGAGUCCUAGAAAGAGAAAAUUUAGAGAAUAAAGGAGAGGCAGUACUUGAAAGAUAACACAAUUUUACAAAUUUGUUGGAAAAACAUGAAUUCAUAAAUUCAGGAAGCACAAUAUAUACCAAACAUAUAUUUAAAUAAAAUCCAGGCCUAGACUCAAGGUAUUGUAAAUGACAAGAUACCAAAUACAAGAUUUUAAAAGCAACCAUGGGGAGAAAAAGAUCAGUGAAAGCAAGACAGUCAAAUACUUAGUAGGCUUCCUAACAGCAACAAUGUACCCAAAAGAGGGUAGAAUUCUGAGAAAAACUAUUAGCUUAGAAUUUGCAACAAGCGAAACUGAAACAAACAGAUGCUCAGAUGAAAAACAGAUGUUAUCCUCAGCACAAAUUCAGUAAAGAGACUACAAAAGGAUGAUCUUCAAGAAGGGAAAUGAUUCUAAAAGGAUUAUCUGAAAUUGAAAAACUAGUAAGCAAAUAAAUGAUAAACAUAAGUAAAUUUAAACUGUUGUUUGUAUAAAACAAUUAUAAUGAAGUGUUUAUAAGAAAUUGUAAACAAAUGUAAAACUAAAUAAACAUUGUUAUGCAA